UGCCAGACUCCUACGGGAGGCAGCAGUGGGGAAUAUUGCACAAUGGGGGGAACCCUGAUGCAGCGACGCCGCGUGAGUGAAGAAGUAUUUCGGUGUGUAAAGCUCUAUCAGCAGGGAAGAAAAACCGACCAUAGGGUCGCUAGACGGUACCUGAUUAAGAAGCCCCGGCUAACUACGUGCCAGCAGCCGCGGUAAUACGUAGGGGGCAAGCGUUAUCCGGAUUCACUGGGUGUAAAGGGAGCGUAGACGGCGGCGCAAGUUUGGAGUGAAAGCCCGGGGCCCAACCCCGGGACUGCUCUGGAAACUGCGGCGCUGGAGUACGGGAGGGGCAGGCGGAAUUCCUGGUGUAGCGGUGAAAUGCGCAGAUAUCAGGAGGAACACCGGCGGCGAAGGCGGCCUGCUGGACCGUGACUGACGUUGAGGCUCGAGAGCGUGGGGAGCAAACAGGAUUAGAUACCCCGGUAGAC
rnacentral:rRNA from 1 species